GGCCCAGCCUACUUGCUGUUGUUUGUAGCAUAACACUAGGGAUGUGGUGUUAAAAGUUCCUAGAGAUAAAGUGUUGAGAACAGCUGCUGUCAGCCCAGGGUGCUCCAGGUAAUAAAUGAUAGUGUUGGUUACCAGGGCUCUGCUGUGCCAAGGCAGUGGAGGGUGAGUCCUGUCAGCCCCUGGGUGACCACGCAGGGGUCUGACCCGCCAGCCUUGUCCUUUCCACCAGGUAUGUGCACUGCGCGUGACCAGCCGGGCCCGCAGCCGCAUCCUCAGGGCAGGGGGCAAGAUCCUCACUUUCGACCAGCUGGCCCUGGACUCCCCUAAGGGCUGCGGCACUGUCCUGCUCUCCGGUGAGUGAUGCGAAGUCAAUGGGGUUGGAGUGAGCUGUGUGGCUACUGGCAGCCUUCACCCUUCUGGAUCUGGGAGGCCAGAAGCUGGGCGCCAGAUCCCUGUCUCACUCGGUUCUCCUUCCCCUUCCCUAGGUCCUCGCAAGGGCCGAGAGGUGUACCGGCAUUUCGGCAAGGCCCCAGGAACCCCGCACAGCCACACCAAACCCUACGUCCGCUCCAAGGGCCGGAAGUUCGAGCGUGCCAGAGGCCGACGGGCCAGCCGAGGCUACAAAAACUAACCCUGGAUCCUGCUCUCUUAUUAAAACGAUUUUGAAUGCUGACA
rnacentral:sRNA from 1 species